rnacentral:rRNA from 1 species
UACGUAGGGUGCGAGCGUUGUCCGGAAUUAUUGGGCGUAAAGAGCUCGUGGGCGGCUUGUCGCGUCGGAUGUGAAAGCCCGGGGCUUAACUCCGGGUCUGCAUUCGAUACGGGCAGGCUAGAGUUCGGUAGGGGAGAUCGGAAUUCCUGGUGUAGCGGUGAAAUGCGCAGAUAUCAGGAGGAACACCGGUGGCGAAGGCGGAUCUCUGGGCCGAUACUGACGCUGAGGAGCGAAAGCGUGGGGAGCGAACAGG